AAUUAAAGAAGCUACAUUUGUAGGCACUUCUUCAAUCCACACUUGAACCUCAGGAGCAGUAUCUUCAAGAUGCAACUUAGCCAAAGCAUGAGCGACGGAAUUAACAGACCAACGAACAAAGGACCAGGAACAAUCAUCCAACAGAUGCAUCAAAUCAAACAAUCUUGCAGAACAAAUCCCAGAUCAUUAUUAGGACAGUUAGUGGACCGAAUAAGUUGAAUGACAUGAAGACAAUCAGAUUCAACAAUCACCCUUUGGAAACUCAAAUCUACCGCUAAUUGCAAACCAAAAAGUACAGCCCUUGCCUCAGAAACUGCAGUUGACCAAGAGCCAUAGACUCUUUCAAUAGCAGACAUCAAGACUUCCCCUCCAGGGUCCCGAAAAACAACACCUAACUGGAUCCACCCAGGAACUACAACUCUUGCAUCACAAUUCAACUUAAUAAAGUUUUGGGGAGGAGAAGACCACCGAAGAUUACAAGUCGUAGCUAACUGCUGUACAACCCCAUCUUUAUCAUUUAUUUUUCGCACCUCCGACAACAAAGAAGUCACUUCAAUAGCCAGCUCCAGAGAAGAAAAAUGGUUACCAUCAAAAAGCAAUUUGUUUCGACCAAUCCAAAUAAAAUAGCAUAAGCAUGCAACUGUUGGUAACUCCUCACGGGAACACUUUUCCAACAGCCCAGACCACCAAUGUUUAAACAUCAAACCCUCAAUCAAACAAACCAAAUCUAGCCCACAAGAAGACCACACUUGAUGUGUAGAAACACAGUCUCGACAAAGAUGCAUAGGGGUUUCCUCAAGUCCACAAAGCGGGCAAGAGGGAGUGAUUG
rnacentral:misc_RNA from 1 species